UCGACUAUUUGAGGGACGAAACUGGGCAGCUAUACCUGUGCAGAACUACACUUCUUUUCUCAACCCUUGACUUUUUGCGCACUUGUGUUUCCUCUGCAGGCAUGCCUGCCCAUUGGACAAAUCAUAACCUUUUUAAUUUUCAAUCAGCGUCUGAAUUAUUUUAAUAAUUACAACUUUCAACAACGGAUCUCUUGGUUCUGGCAUCGAUGAAGAACGCAGCGAAAUGCUAUAAUUAGUGUGAAUUGCUGAAUUCAUUGAAUCAUCAAAUCUUUGAACGCACAUUGCGCCCCUUGGUAUUCCAUGGGGCAUGCCUGUUCUAGCGUCAUUUGUACUCUCAAGCCUUGCUUGGUGUUGGGUGUUUGUCUUCUCCUCGCUUANACUCGCCUUAAAUAUAUUGGCAGCCGGUAUACUGGUUUGAAACNCAACACAAUUGCAUUUCACGCUCUUAGUACUANCAUCCACAAAAAUUAUCAACACUU
rnacentral:misc_RNA from 1 species